GCAAAGUUUGGAGUUUGGACCAAAUAAUAUGUUUGUUAAGUGAGCAUGCAGAAAACUGAAAAUGGUUCAUAUCAAUUGUGUUGAGGAAACAAGUCCAUAUAGAUAUAAUACUUUUAACUGGGAGGCAUCGGUAUGCUUUGGUGGUUGGGAAGGCCGAUGAGGCUAAGGCUAUAUCAGUUGUUGGGAAUGUAUUUCUCAAGUAUUUUAUAGUUAGUGGUACUGAAGAGGCAUUAGGAAAGGUGAGCUCAAUUUUUGAUCAACUCAGAGCAAUGUAGUGCCACUAAUUUUCUCAUGUUGGCAGCUAGUGCUCCUAUAAUUUGCAUGACUACUGACCUGCAGCUCCUCUCUCUAGCUUGUAUUGUUUCCAGUGGUUGUUGUUUCAUACAGGAAAAUUUGAAACUGUUCAUUACUACCUAACAAUUACUUUGGCCUUGGUUAGUAUGGAUUCGUGGCUCCUAAGAAUAGCACUUUGAUUUUUCCUGUUCUGUCAAUUUUUGCUUUUGUUGAUAUGAACACUGCCUUUGU